GACGAACGCUGGCGGCGUGCUUAACACAUGCAAGUCGAACGGAAAGGCCCUGCUUGCAGGGUACUCGCGUGGCGAACGGGUGAGUAACACGCGGGUGUUCUGCCCUGCACUUCGGGAUAAGCCUGGGGGACUGGGGCUAAUACCGGAUAGGGGACAUCCUUAGUGAGAUGGUUGGAAGGAUUUUUUGGGUUGGGAUGGGCCUGCGGCCUGUUCGCCUGGUGGUGGGGUAAUGGGCUACCAAGGAGGCGACUGGUGGCCGGCCUGGGGGGGUGGACGGCCACAUUGGGGCUGGGGUUCGGCCCAGACUCCUACGGGAGGCAGCAGGGGGGGAUAUUGCACAAUGGGCGCGAGCCUGAUUCAGCGACGCCGCGUGGGGGAUGACGGCCUUCCGGUUUGAAACUCCUUUCGCUAGGGACGGAGCUUUUUGUGACGGUACCUGGAAAAGAAGCACCGGCUAACUACGUG
rnacentral:rRNA from 1 species